rnacentral:rRNA from 1 species
UACGGGGGGGGCAAGCGUUGUUCGGAAUUACUGGGCGUAAAGGGCUCGUAGGCGGCCAACUAAGUCAGACGUGAAAUCCCUCGGCUUAACCGGGGAACUGCCUCUGAUACUGGAUGGCUUGAGAUUGGGAGAGGGAUGCGGAAUUCCAGGUGUAGCGGUGAAAUGCGUAGAUAUCUGGAGGAACACCGGUGGCGAAGGCGGCAUCCUGGACCAACACUGACGCUGAGGAGCGAAAGCUAGGGGAGCAAACGGG